rnacentral:rRNA from 1 species
UACGUAGGGUGCAAGCGUUGUCCGGAAUUAUUGGGCGUAAAGAGCUCGUAGGCGGUUUGUCGCGUCGGCUGUGAAAGCCCGGAGCUCAACUCCGGGUCUGCAGUCGAUACGGGCAGACUUGAGUGUUGCAGGGGAGACUGGAAUUCCUGGUGUAGCGGUGAAAUGCGCAGAUAUCAGGAGGAACACCGGUGGCGAAGGCGGGUCUCUGGGCAACAACUGACGCUGAGGAGCGAAAGCGUGGGGGAGCGAACAGG